rnacentral:rRNA from 1 species
AUUGAACGCUAGCGGGAUGCUUUACACAUGCAAGUCGAACGGCAGCGCGAGAGAGCUUGCUCUCUUGGCGGCGAGUGGCGGACGGGUGAGUAAUAUAUCGGAACGUGCCCAGUAGCGGGGGAUAACUACUCGAAAGAGUGGCUAAUACCGCAUACGCCCUACGGGGGAAAGGGGGGGAUCGCAAGACCUCUCACUAUUGGAGCGGCCGAUAUCGGAUUAGCUAGUUGGUGGGGUAAAGGCUCACCAAGGCAACGAUCCGUAGCUGGUUUGAGAGGACGACCAGCCACACUGGGACUGAGACACGGCCCAGACUCCUACGGGAGGCAGCAGUGGGGAAUUUUGGACAAUGGGGGAAACCCUGAUCCAGCCAUCCCGCGUGUAUGAUGAAGGCCUUCGGGUUGUAAAGUACUUUUGGCAGAGAAGAAAAGGUACCUCCUAAUACGAGGUACUGCUGACGGUAUCUGCAGAAUAAGCACCGGCUAACUACGUGCCAGCAGCCGCGGUAAUACGUAGGGUGCAAGCGUUAAUCGGAAUUACUGGGCGUAAAGCGUGUGUAGGCGGUUCGGAAAGAAAGAUGUGAAAUCCCAGGGCUCAACCUUGGAACUGCAUUUUUAACUGCCGAGCUAGAGUAUGUCAGAGGGGGGUAGAAUUCCACGU